rnacentral:rRNA from 1 species
AUUGAACGCUGGCGGCAGGCCUAACACAUGCAAGUCGAGCGAGAGGCGGACGGGUGAGUAAUGUCUGGGAAACUGCCUGAUGGAGGGGGGUAACUACUGGAAACGGUAGCUAAUACCGCAUACGCUCUGAUGUGCCCAGAUGGGAUUAGCUGGUGGGUGGGGUAACGGCUCACCAAGGCGACGAUCCCUAGCUGGGCUGAGAGGAUGACCAGCCACACUGGAACUGAGACACGGUCCAGACUCCUACGGGAGGCAGCAGGGGGGAAUAUUGCACAAUGGGCGCAAGCCUGAUGCAGCCAUGCCGCGUGUGUGAAGAAGGCCUUCGGGUUGUAAAGCACUUUCAGCUGGGAGGCGUUACCCGCAGAAGAAGCACCGGCUAACUCCGUGCCAGCCGCCGCGGUAAUAC